GCGUUGUCCGGAAUCAUUGGGCGUAAAGAGCGUGUAGGCGGCUCGAUCAGUCCGCUGUGAAAGUCCAGGGCUCAACCCUGGAAAGCCGGUGGAUACUGUCGGGCUAGAGUACGGAAGAGGCGAGUGGAAUUCCUGGUGUAGCGGUGAAAUGCGCAGAUAUCAGGAGGAACACCAAUGGCGAAGGCAGCUCGCUGGGACGAUACUGACGCUGAGACGCGAAAGCGUG
rnacentral:rRNA from 1 species